rnacentral:rRNA from 1 species
AGUGAACGCUGGCGGUAGGCCUAACACAUGCAAGUCGAACGGCAGCACAGGAGAGCUUGCUCUCUGGGUGGCGAGUGGCGGUCGGGUGAGGAAUACAUCGGAAUCUACUUUUUCGUGGGGGAUAACGUAGGGAAACUUACGCUAAUACCGCAUACGACCUACGGGUGAAAACAGGGGAUCUUCGGACCUUGCGCGAUUGAAUGAGCCGAUGUCGGAUUAGCUAGUUGGCGGGGUAAAGGCCCACCAAGGCGACGAUCCGUAGCUGGUCUGAGAGGAUGAUCAGCCACACUGGAACUGAGACACGGUCCAGACUCCUACGGGAGGCAGCAGUGGGGAAUAUUGGACAAUGGGCGCAAGCCUGAUCCAGCCAUACCGCGUGGGUGAAGAAGGCCUUCGGGUUGUAAGGCCCUUUUGUUGGGAAAGAAAUCCAGCUGGUUAAUACCCGGUUGGGAUGACGGUACCCAAAGAAUAAGCACCGGCUAACUUCGUGCCAGCCGCCGCGGUAA